rnacentral:rRNA from 1 species
AACCCUCGGGAUUGUAAUUUGAAGAUUUGGCAUUGGAGAAAGCUAACCCAAGUUGCUUGGAAUAGUACGUCAUAGAGGGUGACAACCCCGUCUGGCUAACCGUUCUCCAUGUAUUGCCUUAUCAAAGAGUCGAGUUGUUUGGGAAUGCAGCUCAAAGUGGGUGGUAAACUCCAUCUAAAGCUAAAUACUGGUGAGAGACCGAUAGCGAACAAGUACUGUGAAGGAAAGGUGAAAAGAACUUUGAAAAGAGAGUGAAAUAGUAUGUGAAAUUGUUGAUAGGGAAGGAAAUGAGUGGAGAGUGGCCGAGGUUUCAGCCGCCCCUCGUGGGCGGUGUACUGCCGACGCCGAGUCAUCGAUAGCGAGACGAGGGUUACAAAUGGGAGCGCCUUCGGGCGUUCUCCCCUAACCCUCCACACUGCCACCGACGACAUAAUCCACCCAUUUCACCCGUCUUGAA